rnacentral:rRNA from 1 species
AUGGCGUCCUCUCUCCUCACCACCCCGUCCCAGACCCUCGCCCCCACGCCCUCCGCGGCGCGCGCCCGCGGGUCCUCCCCGCCGGCGGCGGCCCAGGUGUCCUUCUCCUCGCCCCGCCUCCCUGCCCGCCGCGCGCUGCGCGUGCGCGCGUCGGUCGCGAUCGAGAAGGAGGUGCCGGAAAACGAGGCGCCGACGACGUUCCUGCGGGAGGACGGCUCCGGGGCCGGGUCCGGGUCCGUGCGCGAGCGGUUCGAGGGCAUGAUCCGGCGGGUGCAGGGCGAGAUCUGCGCCGCGCUCGAGGAGGCCGACGGCAGCGGGAAGCGGUUCGUGGAGGACGUCUGGUCGCGCCCCGGGGGCGGCGGGGGCAUCAGCCGGGUGCUCCAGGACGGGAACGUGUUCGAGAAGGCCGGGGUGAACGUGUCGGUCGUGUACGGGGUCAUGCCCCCGGACGCCUACCGCGCGGCCAAGGGGGCCGCGAAGAACGGGGCGGCCGAUGGCCACAAGGCUGGGCCUGUGCCCUUCUUUGCCGCUGGCAUCAGCUCGGUUCUUCAUCCCAAGAACCCGUUUGCUCCAACAUUGCAUUUCAACUAUCGUUAUUUUGAAACGGAUGCACCAAAAGAUGUACCUGGUGCACCAAGGUCAUGGUGGUUUGGAGGUGGUACUGAUUUGACUCCUUCCUAUCUCAUUGAAGAGGAUGUGAAGCAUUUUCAUUCUGUUCAAAAACAAGCUUGUGAUAAGUUUGAUCCAAGUUUUUACCCAAGAUUCAAAAAAUGGUGCGAUGAUUAUUUCUAUAUUAAGCACCGUAAUGAGAGACGUGGGCUUGGCGGAAUAUUUUUUGAUGAUCUUAAUGAUUAUGACCAAGACAUGCUUCUGAACUUCGCUACAGAGUGUGCCGGUUCUGUAAUUCCUGCAUACUUACCCAUCAUAGAACGUCGCAAAGACACUCCAUUUAAUGAGGAGCAGAAGGCAUGGCAGCAAGUGCGGAGAGGUCGCUACGUGGAGUUCAACCUUGUUUACGAUCGUGGCACCACAUUUGGACUCAAGACUGGGGGAAGGAUCGAGAGUAUACUCGUCUCUCUACCACUCACUGCACGGUGGGAGUAUGACCAUAAACCUGAAGAAGGGAGCGAAGAGUGGAAACUUCUCGACGCGUGCAUAAACCCGAAGGAGUGGCUGUGA